CCACGGCCCCAAGCGACAGGUUCCCCGCGAGGGGAUCAAAAGGGAACACGGGUUCAAGACCCGGGCUGCCCCUGCAACUGUGAGCGGAUAGCCAUCGGCCCGAUGCCAUUGAGGGGGGAACCCUUUGAGAAGGCGGCCGAACCGGCAUGGACCCGCGAGCCAGGAGACCUGCCUGACGCCGUCGUUUUUC
rnacentral:ncRNA from 2 species